rnacentral:lncRNA from 1 species
ACUUCACAUAAAUAUGCAUUGCGCAGUAGAGGUACAGUACCGGACGAACAAUGGAUACUUCCUACAUCCACUCAUUCUAGAAUACCAAAAUAUACGAACUAGCAAACAACAAUUAAUUCUAGUAAUACAUACAUACAUGUAUAUUGAAUUUAGAUAGAAUGGUAUAAUUCAAAGAAACAACUACAAAUAAUUUAUUUACAGAACAGGAAGACUAACGACAAUGAAUGGAAGUUUAAUUAUUCUAUCAACGUUAAUGGUACUUAAUGUUAUGAGCGACAAUACAAUGUUAAAAAAGGUGUCAUCUUUGCGAAUCAAGGAAAUUUUCUCCUCACGACCAGUCGUUGGAAUCUUGUCGUUGACAUCAGAUUCGAGGAAUACGAUGUUCAACUCCUCCGACUGCGAAAACAUCUUAAUAAAUUGCGACGAAUAAUCAAAGGAGCUCGGAUAAAAUCAACAGGAUUAACGAGCAUACUUUGGAACUAUACCGCUACUGAAGUGGGAAACUUAAAUCGAAUUCUAAAGGACCAGUACAAUGAAUAUCAAGAUUUAAAGGCAUUAGUUACAUUAGAUAAGACAGAGAAAAAGAAACGAGCUUUAAUUGACGUAGGAGGGGAUAUAUUAAAAUUCCUAUUUGGAACAGCAACAACAAAAGAAGUAGAAAAUCUUAAUGCAAAGGUAUCACAUAUCAAAACUAACCAGGAAGGGAUUAUCCACAUUAUAGAAGCACAAAUAACUGUACUAAAUAAUACACUAGCUGCUGUUAAAGACAAUCGGCGAUGCAUUAGAUUAUUAGCACGAGGUCAAAAAAAUUUAAUCCUAAAUAUCCAUGCUUAUAAUUACACAUUUUUCAUCGGUACCGCACUUCGUUAUUUAGAAGGGGCCAUUGCCAGAUUUAGAUCACAAUUAACAAAUUUGCACAUGGCUAUUGAAACUCUAGAACAAGGACGAUUAAGUUCUUAUUUCAUUCCACGCCGAACGCUUCUAGCUACACUGAUAAAUAUAAACAAUCAUUUGCCGAGAGACGUUUCGCUCAUUGAACCGAUUCGGAAUGACAAUUUAUUUA